rnacentral:rRNA from 1 species
CCCUUAGAUGUUCUGGGCCGCACGCGCGCUACAAUGAUGAAUUCAACGAGUUUAUAACCUUGGUUGAAAAGCCUGGGUAAUCUUUUGAACUUUCGUCGUGAUGGGGCUAGACCCUUGCAAUUAUUGGUCUCCAACGAGGAAUUCCUAGUAAACGCAAGUCAUCAGCUUGCAUUGAUUACGUCCCUGCCCUUUGUACACACCGCCCGUCGCACCUACCGAUUGAAUGGUCCGGUGAAAUCUUCGGAUUGAGACUUUGAUUUCUUCACGGAAAACGCUGUUUUAAAAAGUUGAUUAAACCUUACCAUUUAGAGGAAGGUGAANUCGUANCA